rnacentral:rRNA from 1 species
AGAAUCAACGCUGGCGGCGUGCCUAACACAUGCAAGUCGCACGAGAAAGGGACUUCGGUCCUGAGUACAGUGGCGCACGGGUGAGUAACACGUGAAUCAUCUACCUCCGAGUGGGGAAUAACCUAGAGAAAUCUGGGCUAAUACCGCAUAACACUUACGAGUCAAAGCAGCAAUGCGCUUGGAGAGGAGUUCGCGGCAGAUUAGUUAGUUGGCGGGGUAAUGGCCCACCAAGACGAUGAUCUGUAUCCGGCCUGAGAGGGCGCACGGACACACUGGAACUGAAACACGGUCCAGACUCCUACGGGAGGCAGCAGUGGGGAAUUUUGCGCAAUGGGGGAAACCCUGACGCAGCAACGCCGCGUGGAGGAUGAAAUAUCUUGGUAUGUAAACUCCUUUCGAUGGGGAAGAUAAUGACGGUACCCAUAGAAGAAGCCCGGCUAACUUCGCGCCAGCAGCCGCGGUAA